UUGAACGCGAAGCUGUAUCUGAUAGCAGCUCUCGGUGCUGUAAGUGAGUCUCGACUAGGCAGAGAGACUGCGUCCAUAGUAGUGCGUGUAUAGCCACAAGCGCGAUGGUAGUGUUCGAGAGAUAUCACCACACUGCACUGAACACGGCCAGAUCUACGGGAGGCAGCAGUGGGAAUAUGCGCAUGGGCGAAAGCUGACGCAGCAGCGCCGCGUGAGUGAUGAAGGUCUCGGAUCGUAAAGCUCUGUCGGCAGGGAAGAAAACUUGGUGACCUAAUACGUCAUCAGGCUGACGGUACCUGCAAAGGAAGCACCGGCUAACUCUGUGCCAGCAGCCGCGGUAAUACAGAGGGUGCUAGCGUUGUUCGGAAUUAUUGGGCGUAAAGAGCGCGUAGGCGGUUUGCUAAGUCUGGUGUGAAAGCCCUCGGCUUAACUGAGGAAGUGCAUUGGAUACUGGCAGGCUUGAGUGUGAGAGAGGAUUGUGGAAUUCCUGGUGUAGCGGUGAAAUGCGUAGAUAUCAGGAGGAACACCGGUGGCGAAGGCGGCAAUCUGGAUCAUAACUGACGCUGAGGCGCGAAAGCGUGGGUAGCAAACAGGAUUAGAUACCCUGGUAGUCCACGCCGUAAACGAUGGAUGCUAGGUGUUGCAGGCUUCAACCCCUGCAGUGCCGCAGCUAACGCAUUAAGCAUCCCGCCUGGGGAGUACGGUCGCAAGACUAAAACUCAAAGGAAUUGACGGGGGCCCGCACAAGCGGUGGAGCAUGUGGUUUAAUUCGACGCAACGCGAAGAACCUUACCCAGACUUGACAUCCUAGGAACCUGCUAGAAAUAGUGGGGUGCCCUUCGGGGAGCCUAGAGACAGGUGCUGCAUGGCUG
rnacentral:rRNA from 1 species